rnacentral:rRNA from 1 species
AGUGAGCGCUGGCGAUAGGCCUAACACAUGCAAGUCGAACGGCAGCACAGUAAGAGCUUGCUCUUACGGGUGGCGAGUGGCGGGCGGGUGAGGAAUACAUCGGAAUCUACUUUUUCGUGGGGGAUAACGUAGGGAAACUUACGCUAAUACCGCAUACGACCUACGGGUGAAAGCAGGGGAUCUUCGGACCUUGCGCGAUUGAAUGAGCCGAUGUCGGAUUAGCUAGUUGGCGGGGUAAAGGCCCACCAAGGCGACGAUCCGUAGCUGGUCUGAGAGGAUGAUCAGCCACACUGGAACUGAGACACGGUCCAGACUCCUACGGGAGGCAGCAGUGGGGAAUAUUGGACAAUGGGCGCAAGCCUGAUCCAGCCAUACCGCGUGGGUGAAGAAGGCCUUCGGGUUGUAAAGCCCUUUUGUUGGGAAAGAAAAGCAGCAGGUUAAUACCCCGCUGUUCUGACGGUACCCAAAGAAUAAGCACCGGCUAACUUCGUG